UACGGGGGGGGGCAAGUGUUGUUCGGAAUUACUGGGCGUAAAGGGCUCGUAGGUGGCCAACUAAGUCAGACGUGAAAUCCCUCGGCUUAACCGGGGGAACUGCGUCUGAUACUGGAUGGCUUGAGUUUGGGAGAGGGACGCGGAAUUCCAGGUGUAGCGGUGAAAUGCGUAGAUAUCUGGAGGAACACCGGUGGCGAAGGCGGCGUCCUGGACCAACACUGACACUGAGGAGCGAAAGCCAGGGGAGCAAACGGG
rnacentral:rRNA from 1 species